AACGCACAUUGCGCCCGCCAGUAUUCUGGCGGGCAUGCCCGUCCGAGCGUCAUUUCAACCAUCAAGCUCUGCUUGCGUUGGGGAUCCGCGGCUGCCCGCGGUCCCUCAAAAACAGUGGCGGGCUCGCUAGUCACACCGAGCGUAGUAACUCUACAUCGCUAUGGUCGUGCGGCGGGUUCUUGCCGUAAAACCCCCCAAUUUUUAAGGUUGACCUCGGAUCGGGUAGGAGUACCCGCUGAACUUAA
rnacentral:misc_RNA from 1 species